GACGUGUCCGACGGAGUGGGUAGCGCUUUCUGGCAGAUUGACGUGCGGCCGCCAUUUUGAGAGCUUUGGCUUGCGGGUGGUCUGACUGCUGCACUGGAGUGUAGUGUGACUCCAACCGCUCGCGAUCUCGCAAUUUCCAUUAACCACAUCCUCACUUUGGCCAUCACCACCCAGCACACCGACGACUGCAUUGUACUCAUCAAUAGUGUGAUGGCACUUCUCCCUUCCAAAGGAUCUUAACGAGAUGACUAAAGGACAUAAAGGAGACUGAAAGGUGCAGAGAAGAAGGCAGACCAGCUAGGGAGGAGCAACCCUGUGGU